rnacentral:rRNA from 1 species
UACGUAGGGGGCAAGCGUUGUCCGGAAUCAUUGGGUCGGUAAAGAAGCGUGUAGGCGGCCCGGUAAGUCCGCUGUGAAAGUCCAGGGCUCAACCCUGGGAUGCCGGUGGAUACUGUCGGGCUCGAGUCCGGAAGAGGAGUGUGGAAUUCCUGGUGUAGCGGUGAAAUGCGCAGAUAUCAGGAGGAACACCAAUGGCGAAGG